UACGGCCACAUCACGCCGAAACAUCGAUUCCCAUAUGAUCACCGAAGUUAAACGAGGUUGAGCUUAGGCUGUACCUAGAUGGCUGACCGCUUGGGAAUACCAGGUACCGUAAG